rnacentral:lncRNA from 1 species
CCCUGGAAACCAGUUCUGAAGCUGCUGCCUCAUUGUGAUGUGAGCCCCCUCUGUUGACAGGGAGGCUCAUUCCUGCAUAAGACACUGGGACAUGUGGCCUGUGUCACCCAUGUCAUGUCAAACCAACCUGUGGACACAGGUCUUCUGCUUCCCCAAGGCUGGAAUGCGGAAAAACACAUCAAACGCCCUAGUUCUGCUCAGCACCAAGACCUAGAUUCACUCUUCAGAAAGCCUCAAAUUGCCAGCGCCAGUCUUCUGGCAUAGUUCCUCUUAUGUGCUGAAAAAAGGAGAUAAAGUGCAGCAGACAGAUGAGAAACUUCCCAGUGAUCAGAAGCCAUAUUAUUAAUCUGGUCCACUUAACAAAUGGAGUAACUCAGACGCAGCAUAACUUGUCUAAGCCUUAGCAGAAAGGAGGAGAAUUAGAAACAAGCUUUCCUGAGUCCUAAUCUUUUUCCAUAGCCCCCUCUUCCCGCGUCAUAGUCCUGCUGGUAUUCAUCGCAAACCUGGUUUCCAGAUUGCCUGCGCCCAUACUGCCUGCCCUCCUUAAAGCCUGAAUCCCAGUCUGUGCGAAUGAUCCUGUCGUCCAGAUGAGUUCUGUUUAUGAAACGCAUGGCAUUUUCUGCAUCUGCUCUCGAGUAUUCCACAAAACAGAAGCCACACGCUGUUUUCAUUUUAUCCAAAACCAUAAUGAUCUUCUUUAUGUCACCACUUUUGCUGAGUUCAUAAAUUUGUUCUUCAGUUGUGUAAAAGGAAAGAUUUCCGAUAUACAAUGUACAACUUUUCUUCAGUAAUUUUUCUUGUUGUCACUUCGAAAGUGCUGGUCCUGGUACUGGCUCAGCUCCACAUAGGAGUCGCUGCGCAAUGCCUUCAAGAGGUCAACAUGAUGCUAAGAGGUAGAGAAAGAUGCAUCGCCUUUGUGAACAGCUAAGGAG